AUGAAAUUCACUCUUGGAUUUUUACAGGAGGAGGCUGGAUGUUGGAGUGCAGCUUUAGUGCAGGAGGUUUUUGUACGAGGACUGAAUGAGGUUGUAACACUGUGGUACACUUUUGGUGGAGGCACUCGACUCUCUGUUGGAAGUGACACUCAGCCCACCCUCACAGUGUUGCCCCCCUCCAGUGCUGAGCUGCAGCAGGGGAAGGCUACACUGGUGUGUGUGGGCAGUAAGGGUUUUCCCUCAGACUGGAAGCUGAGCUGGAAGGUGGGCGGGGUCAGUCUGAGCUCAGGUGUGAGUGGGGGCGGGGCUGUGCUGCAGAAGGAAAACGGUCUCUACAGCUGGAGCAGCACCCUGACCCUCACUGAGCAGCAGUGGAGGACCACCGGAGCAGUGAGCUGUGAGGCCAACAGGAGCAACCAACCGCCAGUUACCUACAACCUCAACAAACAGCAGUGUGCUGAUUACUGAUACACAUUUUUGUCCCCAAUACCCAAGCCGUCCCCAAUUUGCUGGUGUGUAUUCUAUGAUUCGUCCCCAAAAGUGUCAACAUAAACACACACACACACACACACACACACACUUAAACAUACACACACACACACUUAAACACACACAUAUAAUAUCUAUCAGUCUGCUGUGUUUGAGUGUUUCUGCUUCUUUAUCAUUUCUGUAUUUUCUAGUCAUCAGUUCUGAGCUCUCUGUUCAUUCAGAGCUUUAAUUCUCUGCUUUAAUAAAACUUUCUGAAUCAA